AAACAAUGCCGCUCCUUUUGGUCAUCGUGAUUCUUGCUUGCAUGGUAUCUCACGUUGCUGAUGCAUGUGCAGACUGGAUAAAUGAAGUACCUAGAUUCUGCUGGCGUGGCCAGCGUUUAUAUCAACGAUAUUGCCCGGGCUUUGAAAACAAUUCACAGUACAUAUGUUUUCGAGGAAGUACCCUUGGAUGCGCGUGCAGCACACUUUUUCGAGCAAUGGAUGGAAAAUGCGUGCGCUAUGAAGACUGUGCGGCGCACGAGCACAUAGGUGCAGAUAUAAGAAGUGGAACACUCAUGAGGAGAGUCGGAAAUGCACCCUCUAAAGCAUCUGCGAAGGCGACUGUUGCAGCAACCAGCAAUGGGGCUGCACCUACGGGUAAUAUAUAC